rnacentral:rRNA from 1 species
UAUCGGAUUGAUACUAAGCCAUGCGAGUCAUUGCAGUAAUGCAAGGCAGACGGCUCAGUAACGCGUAGUCAACCUACCCUAUGGACGGGAAUAACCUCGGGAAACUGAGUAUAAUGCCCGAUAGAACACUAUUCCUGGAAUGGUUUGUGUUCCAAAUGAUUUAUCGCCGUAGGAUGGGACUGCGGCCUAUCAGUUUGUUGGUGAGGUAAUGGCCCACCAAGACUAUUACAGGUACGGGCUCUGAGAGGAGUAGCCCGGAGAUGGGUACUGAGACACGGACCCAGGCCCUAUGGGGCGCAGCAGGCGAGAAAACUUUGCAAUGUGCGAAAGCACGACAAGGUUAAUCCGAGUGGUUUGUGCUAAACGAACCUUUUGACAGUCCUAGAAACACUGUUGAAUAAGGGGUGGGCAAGUUCUGGUGUCAGCCGCCGCGGUAAAACCAGCACCUCAAGUGGUCAGGAUGAUUAUUGGGCCUAAAGCAUCCGUAGCCGGCUCUGUAAGUUUUCGGUUAAAUCUGUACGCUCAACGUACAGGCUGCCGGGAAUACUGCAGAGCUAGGGAGUGGGAGAGGUAGACGGUACUCGGUAGGAAGGGGUAAAAUCCUUUGAUCUAUUGAUGACCACCUGUGGCGAAGGCGGUCUACCAGAACACGUCCGACGGUGAGGGAUGAAAGCUGGGGGAGCAAACCGGAUUAGAUACCCGGGUAGUCCCAGCUGUAAACUAUGCAAACUCAGUGAUGCAUUGGCUUGUGGCCAAUGCAGUGCUGCAGGGAAGCCGUUAAGUUUGCCGCCUGGGAAGUACGUACGCAAGUAUGAAACUUAAAGGAAUUGGCGGGGGAGCACCACAAGGGGUGAAGCCUGCGGUUCAAUUGGAUUC